UUUUUAACUGUUUUUCUUUUAGUUACUUCUUAGAUUUCUGCGUAAACAAAACAAAUGCUCAAAUUUUAUAAAUAUUAAAAUGGAAAGCUAUCUUAAAAGAAGUGACCAAAAUAUUAAUGUACAAGAAUAUAUCAGUGAUUCUGAAGACUCAUGUCGUCCAACUACAAGUAAAAGAAUGUAUACGCAAAAAAAUGGUUUAAUGACCCAAGACUGUCUAAGUGGAUUAUCGAAAUAAAUGAACAGCAGGUUAAAUGCAAAUUUUGGCAAUGCAUUUUAAAAUCAAAACUAAGCACACUUAUAGCUCAUGGAAAAACGUCUAAACAUGUAAAACUGUCAGCCCCAUUCAGUAGCAAUGGCCAGAAAACUCUCCAAUUUAACCAAACAAGCUGUCAUUCCAAAAUAAAAGAGGCAGAGUUAUUAGAGUCUUUGUAUGUC